rnacentral:rRNA from 1 species
CUCUUCUUGAAUAUAUUUUGAUGUAUGGCCUGCCCACUGAAUAUUGAAGGGCCGCGGUAUUUUGACCGUGCAAAGGUAGCAUAAUCAUUAGUCUUUUAAUUGUAGGCUGGAAUGAAUGGUUUGACGAGGUGUUAACUGUCUUUAAUUUUUUUUAUUGAAUUUAAAUUUUAGGUUAAAAUGCCUAAAUAUUUUUUUGGGACGAGAAGACCCUAUAGAGUUUUAUAUAUUUUUAUUUUUUUGUGUGUUAAUUUUUAAUGUAAAAAUUUAUUUUGUUGGGGUGAUGGGAAGAUUGAAUAAACUCUUUUUGUUUUAUUAUAUUUAUUUAUAUAUAUUUGAUCCAUUUUUAUUGAUUAUAAGACUAAAUUACC